rnacentral:rRNA from 1 species
AACGAACGCUGGCGGCAUGCCUAACACAUGCAAGUCGAACGAGACCUUCGGGUCUAGUGGCGCACGGGUGCGUAACGCGUGGGAACCUGCCCUUAGGUUCGGAAUAACUCCCCGAAAGGGGUGCUAAUACCGGAUAAUGUCUUCGGACCAAAGAUUUAUCGCCUUUGGAUGGGCCCGCGUUGGAUUAGCUAGUUGGUAGGGUAAAAGCCUACCAAGGCGACGAUCCAUAGCUGGUCUGAGAGGAUGAUCAGCCACACUGGGACUGAGACACGGCCCAGACUCCUACGGGAGGCAGCAGUGGGGAAUAUUGGACAAUGGGCGAAAGCCUGAUCCAGCAAUGCCGCGUGAGUGAUGAAGGCCUUAGGGUUGUAAAGCUCUUUUACCCGGGAUGAUAAUGACAGUACCGGGAGAAUAAGCACCGGCUAACUCCGUGC